GCUGGGUUGGGUAGUGAGCCAACCCUUUCCGGAAUCAUCUCACUGGCUUUCUGCAAUAAUACAAUGAGCUUUGGGAAGAACAUUAUGGAAACUUGGUGCAUGAAUUCAGUCUACAAUCAGCAAGCCAGGAUAACCUACAUUCCAUUUUUUUCACAUGCCUCUGUGUGGUCUCAGGGGUCAAUGUAUGAAUGGAGUUCCCUAUGAAGGCUCUUGAAUCCUUUCAUGAAGCAAAACAAGACAAGCAGCAGCAACAACAAAACCUUAAAACAAGUAGCCAAUGUGAAGGGUGUGGACCAAAUAGGCUGCGUGCACGUUUCCUCUGUUCCUCCUCCAUUCCAGUUACCCUCACCACAUCCAACCCCAGGCCUUGCCUAUGCAUCACAUCCUAUGUUCAUCUUUCCUCCAGUGAGUCCUGCUGACCCUUAUUCAUGCUCCCCAUAUCCAAUUCCCAGUCCUAUUCCAGAUCUCACAUAUAUGAUAGGUCCCUGGGACCUGUGCCCUCACCCCACGCCCUGGCCAACAAUAACUCCCAAGCACCCCCUGGGCUCUAUAGACUUUGUGCAGGCCUAGACAAAAAUUAUUAUCAUGUACUAAUCCUCCUGAUGUGACCAGGUGGAAAGUGUUCUCUUUGCAUAAGCACGGAAUUAAAUUCUAGGGGCAUUCGGUG